rnacentral:rRNA from 1 species
AUUGAACGCUGGCGGCAUGCCUUACACAUGCAAGUCGAACGGCAGCACGGGUGCUUGCACCUGGUGGCGAGUGGCGAACGGGUGAGUAAUACAUCUGAACAUGUCCUGUAGUGGGGGAUAGCCCGGCGAAAGCCGGAUUAAUACCGCAUACGAACUACGGAUGAAAGCGGGGGACCUUCGGGCCUCGCGCUAUAGGGUUGGCCGAUAGCUGAUUAGCUAGUUGGUGGGGUAAAGGCCUACCAAGGCGACGAUCAGUAGCUGGUCUGAGAGGACGACCAGCCACACUGGGACUGAGACACGGCCCAGACUCCUACGGGAGGCAGCAGUGGGGAAUUUUGGACAAUGGGCGAAAGCCUGAUCCAGCAAUGCCGCGUGUGUGAAGAAGGCCUUCGGGUUGUAAAGCACUUUUGUCCGGAAAGAAAUCCUUGGCUCUAAUACAGUCGGGGGAUGACGGUACCGGAAGAAUAAGCACCGGCUAACUACGUG